GAUCCUGGCUCAGAUUGAACGCUGGCGGCAGGCCUAACACAUGCAAGUCGAACGGUAACAGGAAGCAGCUUGCUGCUUCGCUGACGAGUGGCGGACGGGUGAGUAAUGUCUGGGAAGCUGCCUGAUGGAGGGGGAUAACUACUGGAAACGGUAGCUAAUACCGCAUAAUGUCGCAAGACCAAAGAGGGGGGACCUUCGGGCCUCUUGCCAUCGGAUGUGCCCAGAUGGGAUUAG
rnacentral:rRNA from 1 species